rnacentral:rRNA from 1 species
CCUANGGGUGGCAGCAGUGGGGAAUCUUGCACAAUGGGGGAAACCCUGAUGCAGCGACGCCGCGUGAGCGAUGAAGCCCUUCGGGGUGUAAAGCUCUUUCGACGGGAACGAUAAUGACGGUACCCGGAGAAGAAGCUGCGGCUAACUACGUGCCAGCAGCCGCGGUAAUACGUAGGCAGCAAACGUUGUUCGGAAUUACUGGGCGUAAAGAGUGUGUAGGCGGUUCGGCAAGUUUGGUGUGAAAUCUCCCGGCUUAACUGGGAGGGUGCGCCGAAAACUGCCAGACUAGAGUACUGGAGAGGAAAGCGGAAUUCCUGGUGUAGCGGUGAAAUGCGUAGAUAUCAGGAGGAACACCGGUGGUGUAGACGGCUUUCUGGACAGUCACUGACGCUGAGACACGAAAGCGUGGGUAGCAAACAGGAUUAGAUACCCCANUANUC